UACGAAGGGGGCUAGCGUUGCUCGGAAUCACUGGGCGUAAAGGGCGCGUAGGCGGCCUUCUAAGUCGGACGUGAAAUCCCUCGGCUUAACCGAGGAACUGCGUCCGAGACUGAAAGGCUUGAAUCCGGGAGAGGGAUGUGGAAUUCCAGGUGUAGCGGUGAAAUGCGUAGAUAUCUGGAGGAACACCGGUGGCGAAGGCGGCAUCCUGGACCGGCAUUGACGCUGAGGCGCGAAAGCUAGGGGAGCAAACGGG
rnacentral:rRNA from 1 species